AAUCUUGAAAAAGAAAAGAAAAUAUAUAUUAUAAAUCUAAUAACUGAGAUCGUAUUAUCGAAAAAUGAAUUAUUUCUUACUGCACUAAAAGUUUCCAUAGAUAUGACAAACAUAUUUGCUGCAGUUAAUGUGCAAGAUAUUCAAUCAUGCGAUCACUAUGAUCCAUAAGACGUUGAGCAUUUAUACUUUCAAAAAAGAGAUGACCUAAUUGAGCAUAAGAGAAUGCCAAUUGUUGAAGAAACUUGUUUGUUUCAUCCAUAUAUGUAACGGCCUAAACAAAUGUCUAUCUUUAUGUGAAAAAAAAUGUAAAUUAAUUGUUUAACAUGUAUAAAAAUAAUCAUUAAUUUAUACCUGCAGGCCUGUGAUACUCAUCCCAAUCAUAUUGAGUCCUGCCUGCAGAAAGAAAGAUGUGGAAUAAUAGGAUUCCAUAAGGUCGGCAAACCUUUAUAGAAUAAAUCGUUACAUUUAGUAAUAAAGUAUUUUUUGUCAUUACAA